CUGGUUAAUUCCGUUAACGAACGAGACCUUAACCUGCUAAAUAGCUACACGAAAUGCGUAUUUCGUGGCAAGCUUCUUAGAGGGACUUUGCGCGUCUANSUGAGGAAGUUUGAGGCAAUAACAGGUCUGUGAUGCCCUUAGAUGUUCUGGGCUGCACGCGCGCUACACUGAUGCGUCCAACGAGCUCUUUUCCUUGCCCGGUAGGUGGGGUAAUCUUGUGAACGCGCAUCGUGAUGGGGAUAGAUUAUUGCAAUUAUUAAUCUUCAACGAGGAAUUCCUAGUAAGCGCGAGUCAUCAGCUCGUGUUGAUUACGUCCCUGCCCUUUGUACACACCGCCCGUCGCUCCUACCGAUUGAAUGAUCCGGUGAAUACUUCAGACUGCGCUUGGUCUCGGUCUCCGAAGCCUAGCGUGGAACGUUUCGUGAACCUUAUCAUUUAGAGGAAGGAGAAGUCGUAACAAGGUUUCCGUAGUGAACCUGCRGAAGGAUCA
rnacentral:rRNA from 1 species